UUUUUGCUGUAGGUUUAUACUAUUUUAUAGAUACUAUAAAUUUAUACUGUAGGUGCUAUAAGUUUAGCAAAUUUAGCUACCUUGAAGUGUUUGCUAGUUUCAACAUUGGGGGCAUCAGUAUGUCUGUUUCCCCCAAAGAGUAUAUCUGUUUUUAUUGACCGAUUUAUUUUUUUAUUGACUGUGGUUUACAUUUUCAUGUUUCUUUCCCUGUCUACUAAUAUUUUAUUGUAUGAUAAUACAUGUUAGGGACUCUGAAUUCUAUCACCUUCCUCUAAAGAGUGUUGAGUUUUGUUCUAUAAGGCAGUUAAGUUAUGACAGAGCAUCUUAUACUUAAAGGGGCUUGAUUGUAGGCUUUGUCAGGGUGGAUCUAUUCAGCUUGAUCCUUAGUUUUAGGGCAAAUCCCUUAGUCCUGGAAGUGGUCCCUAAAUCUAAGGUGUGGGCUUUUUGAAGUUUAAUGGAAACCGUGAAGUGUUUGCCACAUCACUCUAUUCUUGCAAGACUUGAACUUUGAACUCAGGAGACCUUUGGGUGGUCAGCUGCUGAAAUACCCACUCGGGACUUUCAGAUUUCUAGCUCUUUGCCCUAGAAUCAUGGGGGUUUUUGCCUUGCUUGCAGCCAAAGAUCUGAGGGGAUUUUAUACACAGAUUUUGGAGUUUCUAUGAUUGCUCCUUUUAGGGAUUUCCCAUCUUGACUUCUAACCACUCUGACAGCCCAAACUCCAUUCUCUGACUCCUCAGAUAGGUAAGACUAUGACAUUCUGCCUGAGUCCUACCUGCCCAGUGCCAUGGACAGGGGAGUGCACUCAGGUAAAGUUGUAUAAACAUGCAUAUCUCCUUUACAGCAUUGAAUCCCUUACAGUUGCUAUCACGGAAAGUAAUCAUUAGGUGACAUCCCCCUAUUUACCCUGAAGUUACUGAACCAUCUUCCCUGGAUUUGUGCAGGGUGUCUCCUAAUUUACGAAGAUUCCAAUUAGAUUGGGAGUAUGACUUAACUCAUUUAAGUCACCCAAAUGCUAUUUGAUCAUAAUUUAGUGUCUUGUUAACCUAAUGGCUUGAAAUAAAUUGACGCACUUCUGAAAAUAGGGUAAAAAUCCCUGAUUUUUCAAGGAGGCUAAUCUUCCGUAAAUGCUAAGCACUAUAGAAUCAAUUAUGUUAUUAAUUUGCUCUUGGUUGCAAGCUACAAAGCUUGAUCAGGCUAAUUACAGAUUAUGCUCUGAGGAAAAUAUUUUUAUAUGCACUAUUUUUUUCUUGCAGGCACUUUAAUAUGAGGUUUUAAAAAACCUUACUUAAGACAAAUAAAAAAGAAAACCUUCAUGUAAUUACUUUACCUGCAGGCUAAUUUUUAAAUACUUCAACACCGUAACAAUUAAAUGGGCUAUGUUAGCUUCAGUUGACAACAUUUAUUUAUUUAUUUAUUUGCAAUGAGACCUCAUAAUAUCCACCAGGCUGGUCUCGAACUCCUGGGCUCAAGAGAUCCUCUUGUCUUAGCCUCCCAAAUAGCUGGGCCUACAGGUGCCAGCCAUUCUGCCUAGCUAGUUGAUCACUUUUAGGGAAGGCAACACCCACAAGAUUUGUUGGACCUGAACUUCUUAUGGUGUGUCUGAUUUUAAAUGAAAUGAAUUUUGCUAAAGUCUCACAAAUGGUUAACUCUUCUGCCUUUAUUACAUGUUUUAAAUAGUUGAUUUAUCUCUUAGUUUCUUGCAGCAUAAUUGGUAUAUUGCUUCUCUUGCUAACAUGUCAUUUUACUGUAGGUGGUUAACUGAAUGUAUUCUCUCUGUAAAUUUCAACAAGUUGCUCAUAAAAUUUUCCCAGCAGAAACUUUUUGUUUCGUAUUUAAAAACUGAAUACACUGUCCUUUAUUUAGAGAGUGUAUGUUUGGAAAAUCAUCCUGUUUAUUUGUAAAUAAAGAUGAACCAGCCAGUC
rnacentral:lncRNA from 1 species